rnacentral:rRNA from 1 species
AGGACGAACGCUGGCGGCGUGCUUAACACAUGCAAGUCGAACGGAAAGGCCCGCUUGCGGGUACUCGAGUGGCGAACGGGUGAGUAACACGUGGGCAACCUGCCCUCAGCUCUGGGAUAACUCCGGGAAACCGGUGCUAAUACUGGAUAUCGACUUCUGCUCGCAUGGGUGGUUGUUGAAAGUUUUUCGGCUGGGGAUGGGCCCGCGGCCUAUCAGCUUGUUGGUGGGGUGAUGGCCUACCAAGGCGACGACGGGUAGCCGG